rnacentral:rRNA from 1 species
GACGAACGCUGGCGGCGUGCUUAACACAUGCAAGUCGAACGGAAAGGUCCUGCUUGCAGGGUAAUCGAGUGGUGAACGGGUGAGUAAUACGUGGGUGAUCUGAACUGCACUUCGGGAUAAGCUUGGAAAACUGGGAAUAAUACCGGAUAGGAGCUAUCUUUAGUGUGGUGGUUGGAAAGUUUUUUUGGUGUAGGAUGAGCUCGAGGCCUAUCAGAUUGUUGGUGGGGUAAUGGCUUACAAAGGCGGCGACGGGUGGCCGGUCUGAGAUGUGGUACGGCCACAAGCCAAAUUGGAAACGGCCCACACUCCUGCGGGAUGCGGGAGUGAGGAGUAUUGCACAAUGGGCGCUAGCCUGAUGCAUCGUCGCGGCGUGGGGGGUGAAUGCCGUCGGGUUGUAAACUCCUUUCGCUAUUUACGAAGCAUUUUUGUGACGGUACCUAGAGAAUAAGCACCGGCUAACUACGUG